UCAGCCGUGCUCAGUGGAGCAUUGAUGCAUACUGUCCCAACAACAAUACCAAUCGCACAUGCCAACGUUGUCAGGACGGAUGGGUUUCUUACCAGUCCAGCUGCUAUUCAGUAAACAACGCCCAGAGUACCAAUAGGAUAAACUGGCAAGAAGCUCAAGAAGACUGCAGAAGAAGCAAUUCAGAUCUGGUGGUUGUUUUAGAUGAAAGUGAAAAGAGUUUCGUCAGUGAACACAGUUGGGGCAGUUCAGGGAAUCAAGGGUACUGGAUUGGCCUGAAAGCAGAAGACGGCAAAUGGA